UCUCUGUUGUGCAAACAGGGCUCAUGUCCUGGCAUACAGCAGAGAGCACAGGCAGCUGAUCAGGCACCCUCGCCUCCUGCAGCAGAAGUGGUGGAAAGAAGCAUCGAUGUGCAAACGAUUCCCACUCUGCCCGCUCCACCUGCUCCAGAGAGAAGCUCUUUGCACAGUCUGCAGUGGUCAUUUUAAUCAUUCAGGAUCCGGGACUUCGAAAUGGCUUCAUCAUAGAAUGACAAGGAUCAAGUUGCUUCAACGAAGAAGGUUUUAUUCAGUUUAAAAAAAGGCAGUCGUUAUCUCGACUGGCCAGAAUGUAUGAAUUUCUGACUCGUGAAAUCACUGCUCUGCUAAAUGGAGGAGGAACAAAACCUGUCUCCUUUUUCCAAAAGAUGAGUUUUUCUGCC